rnacentral:rRNA from 1 species
AUGAACGCUGGCGGCGUGCCUAACACAUGCAAGUCGAACGGUUAAGGCGGCUUCGGCCGCGUAUAAAGUGGCGAACGGGUGAGUAACGCGUGACCGACCUUCCCCCCGCACCGGGACAACCGCGGGAAACCGCGGCUGAUACCGGGUACUCCGGGGCCCCCGCAUGGGGGCCCCGGGAAAGCUCCGGCGGCGGGGGAUGGGGUCGCGUCCCAUCAGGUAGUAGGCGGGGCAACGGCCCACCUAGCCGACGACGGGUAGCCGGGUUGAGAGACCGACCGGCCACAUUGGGACUGAGAUACGGCCCAGACUCCUACGGGAGGCAGCAGUGGGGAAUUUUGCGCAAUGGGGGCAACCCUGACGCAGCAACGCCGCGUGCGGGACGACGGCCUUCGGGUUGUAAACCGCUUUCAGCAGGGAAGAACCUCUGACGGUACCUGCAGAAGAAGCCCCGGCUAACUACGUGCCAGCAGCCGCGGUAAUACGUAGGGGGCGAGCGUUAUCCGGAAUGAUUGGGCGUAAAGCGCGCGCAGGCGGCCGCUCAAGCGGGACCUCUAACCCCGGGGCUCAACCCCGGGCCGGGUCCCGAACUGGGCGGCUCGAGUGCGGUAGGGGAGAGCGGAAUUCCAAGUGUAGCGGUGAAAUGCGCAGAUAUUUGGAAGAACACCGAUGGCGAAGGCAGCUCUCUGGGCCGUCACUGACGCUGAGGCGCGAAAGCCGGGGGAGCGAACAGGAUUAGAUACCCUGGUAGUCCCGGCCGUAAACGAUGGGCGCUAGGUGUGGGGAAACAUUUUCUCCGUGCCGCAGCCAACGCAUUAAGCGCCCCGCCUGGGGAGUACGGCCGCAAGGCUAAAAC